CAGCAGCCGGGUAAUACGUAGGGGGCAAGCGUUAUCCGGAUUUACUGGGUUUAAAGGGAGCGUAGACGGCAUGGCAAGCCAGAUGUGAAAGCCCGGGGCUCAACCCCGGGACUGCAUUUGGAACUGUCAGGCUAGAGUGUCGGAGAGGAAAGCGGAAUUCCUAGUGUAGCGGUGAAAUGCGUAGAUAUUAGGAGGAACACCAGUGGCGAAGGCGGCUUUCUGGACGAUGACUGACGUUGAGGCUCGAAAGCGUGGGGAGCAAACAGGAUUAGAUACCCUGGUAGUCCACGCUGUAAACGAUGAAUACUAGGUGUCGGGUGGCAAAGCCAUUCGGUGCCGCAGCAAACGCAAUAAGUAUUCCACCUGGGGAGU
rnacentral:rRNA from 1 species